UGUACACAUUUAAUAUUUUAUUAAAAAAAGAAGUUAUUACAGUUUACUGUACACAGCUAUUUAAGAGAUUAUAAUCCUAUAGAUAAAGAGCAUUUGUCCCUUGUGACAGGCAUGCCCACUUCACAAUGCAAAAGAAACAAAAAAUAAUGGCAAAAAUAAAAAGAGUAAGAUUAAUGGAUAAGGAAAUAAAAGGGGCAAAUUACCAUAAUACCUGGGAUAAAAUAAAAUCCUUAAAGAAAAAAAAAAAAAAAAAGUGUUUUUUUUUUUUUUUUUUUUUUUAAAUCAGCGUAUCACACACUAGGUACUAGAUACAGAUAUUAUAUAUAAAAAAAAAAUCCAUGCUGUGUGCCCACAUAAGCCCCAUGUCUGAGCACCCUAUUGAAGCACAGGUAUAAGGGACUAAAGGAGUGGACAGCAAGGACUGAACUAGACUGGACUCUACACCGGAUGCAUGCAAAGUGCACUGGAGAGUUCAUCAACACAAAUGCAAGAGACGCGAUGCCAUUGGCUGAGAGGGCCAGCAGGAGGAGCCUCUGUGGCCACAGCAGCAGCCGGAAGACAGAUCUCUUCCUCCUCUCUCUCUGGCAAACAUACAGCUGGAGACCACAACAUUAAUAACUGCUGUCCCCUGGAUGUGUGUGUGUGUGUGUGUGUGUGUGUGUGUAAGCACUGGGGGCUUAUGGGUGCAAAACACAAAGGACACACUUAUUUAUUCCACCCCACCCACUAAAUAUGUAAAAAAAAAAAAAUUUUUUAAAUUCUCCCUUCAAUCCCAAACACCUUUUGUAUCAUGUAUUACCUGCUCCAGAUGGACAUCUCUGUUAUUGACAUGGGGAAAAAGAAAUAGGAAACCAAAAAUUAGUAAAUAAAUUCUCACAAAAAAAGUAUAAUAUCUAAUUGGAAUGGAAGCACACUUAUACAUGUUUAUUUGAGAUUCUCAGACUCUUUAGUCAUUUUACUCUUUGACAUGAAAUAAAAACAAAAGGAAAAAUAUAUAGUUCAAACUAAAUGUCCAUAUUUUGUCUCUCUUAUUAAAGUCCAGGGCUCAAAAUUGAAGCAGAAAUGAAAUAGAGAAGCUGAGUUUGUCGUGUUUGUCAGGGUGUGUUGCUAGGCAUGGCAAAAUGUUUACCAUGGCAACCAAACCACAUCCGAGAAGCAUUUUCUUCCAUAUGUGUCUGAAAGAUGUGAAACAAAGCCACCUCUAAACGUAUGCCGUCUCUCUCUCCUUGUAAGAUAACUUCCUCUUAAUACAAUACUGCAUAUAAGUGGUCUUGUUUCUUUUGUCUUGAAAAAAAAAAUUAACCCCCAUCAACAGAUUUAGACCAAAAAAAAAAAGUUCAACUGAGACUCUUUCUUUUUUCCAUUGCACAAUUUGGCCAAUUCUUGACUCGGGCUAGAACAUCAAAUGUUUUGCCCAUAAAACAUCAAUUUAAUUAAAAAAGAAAAAAGGAGAGAACAUAAAAAAGCCACUCCGUGGGAAAAACAUAGGCAGCUCUGGAUCAAAUCACACGAGCCGAACUGAAACGCCUCCCCUUAUAUGCCAUUCCGUCAGGGGUCGACGGCCGUUUUUCGGGAACGUCGUACUCUUCACUUCAACCCCGCUUCAUUUACAUUUUGGACGAUGAAUGGAUAUACAAGUGCAUUCAGAAUGCGAGAUUUGUGAGAAUACUGCAAAAAACACACACGCACACAAACUAAAUCUGGUUCUUCGUAGUACCAACAUGCCACUGAUGAUAUCUGCAGAGGUUGAAAUUCAAAAGCUCUUUAUACAGAAGAUAUCUGCCCGUUUCCACACGGUCACAGCGAAAACCCACCUCAGUGUUACUCGACUGUCCCCUAAAACCACAAGGCAGAUCUUACCACAUGGGAUCCUUCUGAUAAUAUCAGACAAGCAGGUUACAAAAACUAAAUCCAUGAACAUCUAAUUUUGAUUUAACCACCCAGUAAAACUAACUAGAUCUACAUGAGGUCAAACAACAGCUAUCAUAGUUAUACACAAGCAAUAGGAAAAGAUGAUGAACUCUACAAAUGUUAGUAAAAAGCUCUUUCUUUUUUUUUUGUCUCUUUUCUCUUUAAGGUUUCUUCUAGGCUAGACCAACAAAGUCCUACAGGAAUCCACUUCCGCAUCAUACAACAAAUGUACAAAAAAGAUGCUCGUAAAGAGGGAGAGAGUGCGAGACAGAAAGAGGAAAAAGACAAACACUCUGUGCAUACAUUGUUGGUACAAAAUAAAAGAUUUGUGCUCCGUAAAGCAGGACAGUCACUUCCUGGUCGAUUUGUGAAGGUCACCGUGGAAGGUCACACAGCGUAGAGCCACGUUUUGUGGUGUGGGGAUUCCACAACGAGGCAACAAAAGCCAGAAACGACAUCGAGCUAGUGUAAAAGUUGAGCUUCGGUGUGCUAGCCUCUACACCUACAUCCUCUUUUAAAAAAAAAAUGCUCAAGGAACUUAAAGGGAGUCGUAUUGAUAUUUUCCGCUGGCACUGUAUCGUGGGCUUGAUCGGUGAGCAGCGUUUUGUAAAAUCCUGAUGCUUGCUUUAACAUACAGCGUGGAAACUUGCCCCUCAAGGUGAGACCAAAAUAAAAAGAAGAUGAAUUCUUCUAAAGUGUUUUUACCUUAAAACAGCUGUUUAAAGAGUAAACAAACAAAUGAAAAGUAAAAAAAUGGGACAACCAGGAAAGCAUUGAUAAUUCAAAAUGACUUGCACUGGGAUGAUCGAAUGGGAUCGAUCAAACUGCUGAGGUGGAGGGAAGUAAUGAGGCAAAACGUGUCCGAUCCAUCUGCAACAACUCCACAAGCCAAGGGAAUUCAUGUAUCAAAGCAUCACGAACACAACUCUCAGUAUGUUAGUAACAUCACAAGGGGAC